rnacentral:siRNA from 1 species
UAAAAGAUAACGCAGGUGUCC